CACACUUGUCAUCUCCCCGUCCCCCCCCCACCCUUUGCUGGGACGGAUAUAUUUUAAAAUUACAUUACCGCCCGGCUUUAUUGCAUCAGGAUAAUACAGUGUGGUUGGAGGGAGGGGGGGUGAGAAGAAAGAGAGAGAAAUUAAAUAACCCUCCAAAAGCCCAUCAAUAUUUCCUUUUUUUCCUAGCCUCUCCUCUCUCUUCCCCCUCCCCCACCAUCUUUGAUUAUGAUGAUUAUUAGUCAUUUAAUUUUUUUAUGAUUAUUAUGAUUUUCAAACAGAGGCAGAAGGAACGAACGGAUCACCAGGCUGACCAACUUCUCCUCAACUUUCUUCUUCUGCCUCGGGAAAGGCAGCCGCGAUUCAGAUCAGAGACGAAAACGACCUCUUUGAAGUUUCUCAGAAACCGGUUCAGAAAACCUGGUGGGUUAGAGACCAGAGUUCAAAACCGCCCCUGCUCGUUAUCCCACCAGAUAUUCUGAACUACAUAUCCCAUCAGACUAAUACUACAGUAAUGGGACUUGCUGUGCAAAACCAACACCACCUUUGGGAAACAGCAUUACAGAAAAGGGAGAGCUAGAAGCGGAAAGCCCCUGGUGGCGCAACCACUGAGCUGCUGGAAUCCGGGGAGCGAGAUCGACGUUGAAGGAAAGGACAUCCCAAAACACAGAGACCAAUAUGCUUUGGCUACGACCCCUGUGGACUCAAAUCUGCACUCUCUCAGGUCAAGUCACACUCUCUCAGUGGAAGGAAAAAGCAACCCCAUUUUGAAUAAACAUUGUCAAGAAAACUCUGUGAUAGGUUCGCUUUUGGGGCGCCAUAGGUCGGAAAUAGACGAAGGCAUACAACAAGGGCUUCUAUUCUAUUAGCUGCUUUGUGUGUGUGCCUUCAGGUGCCCUGCGGAUUUAUGGCUUCCUUCUUCUGAAAUAAAGGCUACAGCAUCUAGUA